GGGGACCACCAGAGGUCAUCAAUGGCCACCCAAGGUCAACAAUGUCCACCCAAGGUCAUCGGGGGCCAUCAAGGGCCACCAGGGGUCAUCGGGGGCCACCAGAGGUCAUCGAUGUCCACCCAAGGUCAUCAGGAGUCACCACAGGUCACCGAGGCCACCAAAAGUCAUCAGGGGCCACCAGGGGUCAUUGGGGGCCACCCAAGGUCAUCAAUGGCCACCAGGGGUCAUCGAUGUCCACCCAAGAUCACUGGGGGCCAUCAGGGGUCAUCGGGGCCACCAGAGGUCAUUGAUGGCCACCCAAGGUCACCAAGAGCCACCAGAGAUCAUCGAUGGUUACCAGGGGUCAUCGAUGGCCACCCAACGUCACCAGGGACCACCAGAGGUCAUCGAUGGCCACCCAACGUCACCGGGGCCACCCAAGGUCACCAGGGACUACCAAGGGUCACCAGGGGCCACCCAAGGUCAGCAAAAGUCACCAGGGGCGACCAAGGGCCAUUAGAGGUCAUCAAUGUCCACCCAAGGGUCACCAGGGGCCACCAAAAGUCAUCAGAAUCCACCAAGGGUCCCCAGAGGUCUCCAAAGGUCAUCAGGGGCCACCACAGGUCACCGGGGGCUACCAGAGGUCACCAGGGGCCACCAGAGGUCAUCGAUGUCCAUCCAAGGUCACCAGGGGCCACCAAGGGUCACCAGGGGCCAUCAAAAGUCAUCAGAGGUCACCAGAGGUCACCGGGGCUCAUUGGGGGCCACCAAGGGCCACCAGAGGACAUCGAUGUCCACCCAAGGUCAUCGGGGACCACCAAAGGUCACCGGGGGCCACCCAAGGUCACCGGGGGCCACCACAGGUCACCUGAAACUCUGGCACCUGCCCCAGGUGUGUGCCCAGCUGUGUCUCACAGGUGUUCCUCCCCAGGUGUGCCCAGGUACAACCCCAGGUACCGCCCAGGUGCCCCCAGGAGCCCCCAGGGUGUCCCCAGGUACCCCCAGGUGCCCCAAGAUCCCCCCCAGGUACCCCCAAGAUGCCCCCCAGGUACCCCUGGAUACCCCCAGAUACCCCCCCAGGUACCCCCAGGUACCCCCAGGUACCCCCAGAUAC
rnacentral:lncRNA from 1 species